UAGAAACCUUACUUACUUGGUCCUUCUCAGAUUUACUGAUUUUGUCUCCGCUGCCUCCUCCUUCUCCUCCUGGGUCUCUCAUUGUUGUCUUCCUCUCUGUUCGCCUCAGUCACAGAUAACGGAGGGAAAGGCUUCAGGGUUUCUUCCUUACCAUUUUCCACGGAUGAAGCUCAUUUCCUAAGAUUGGUGUAACAGAAUGUGCCCAAAAAAUAAUAGGGAAAUGCCAUUUCAGGACAGUGGGUGCAGAGCAGACACGCUAAACAGUGUUGGCCAGGUUGUGAAGCUGGCACGUCCCAAACUGGCAGCCACGCUGAGGUGCCCGCCUUGGACGCAGUUUUACUGCCAUUCUGUUGAGUGCUUCCAGGUCCACAUGUUUGUCCUCUGAAUGAAAUGGGAUGAUCUUCAGUGCCUGAGCGAAGUGCUCCUGUGUUGUCUCUGAGAUUUCAACUGCUGAAGCCUGGACAGUGUCCGCUUCAAGGACAAUAUUUGCGUCUGCCCUAUGAGAGAGAAAUUAGGAACUUUAAUAUGUAUAUUUAAUUCAUACAGAUGAACUUGUAUUAAGUUUUUUUUUGUUUCAGUCAAUUUCCAAUAGUUUCCAAAAAGUUAAGGAUUCUGUGAUAACCUUAAUAAAGUAGAAUAAGAAUAGA